AGUGAACGCUGGCGGUAGGCCUAACACAUGCAAGUCGAACGGCAGCACAGGAGAGCUUGCUCUCUGGGUGGCGAGUGGCGGACGGGUGAGGAAUACAUCGGAAUCUACUUUUUCGUGGGGGAUAACGUAGGGAAACUUACGCUAAUACCGCAUACGACCUAGGGGUGACAGCAGGGGACCGUCGGGCCUUGAGCGAUUGAAUGAGCCGAUGUCGGAUUAGCUAGGUGGCGGGGUAAAGGCCCACCAAGGCGACGAUCCGUAGCUGGUCUGGGAGGUAGAUCAGCCAACCUGGAACUGGGACACGGUCCAGCCGCCUACGGGAGGCAGCAGUGGGUAAUAUUGGACAAUGGGCGCAAGCCUGAUCCAGCCAUACCGCGUGGGUGAAGAAGGCCUUCGGGUUGUAAAGCCCUUUUGUUGGGAAAGAAAUCCAGCUGGCUAAUACCCGGUUGGGAUGACGGUACCCAAAGAAUAAGCACCGGCUAACUUCGUGCCAGCCGCCGCCGUAA
rnacentral:rRNA from 1 species